CUUGGGAGCUGAUGGGUGGCAGCUGCAUCUAGGACCUGGGCCAUGGAAGCUUGCUGGGAGGAGAUGGAGGCUGCCUGAGCUCUGGGGUCAAGGCCCAGGGUCCUGGCUCCCCGCCUGGACUUUGUUCUUCCGAAGACUGCCCUAAGCUUGGCCUCCAGAAGGACACUUGAUCCCAUCCCAUGGCUGGCAGUGGCGCGCAGCCCUUGGAGCAGCUGCAAGGAUGGUGUUGACUCCAGAUGGAAAGUGUUUCGAGAAUUCUGACGUGACAUCAUCACGACAUUGCACUGACAGUAACUGAUCUGGGAGUGGCCAGGCAAAGGAAAGCACAAAUGUGAUGUUAAACACACAGAGGAGACCCCACAUCAGUUACUCAUACAGAUGCUGCCAAGGAUCCAGCUGUUUCCCACUGUGCAGAGUCUCCAUUUUUCUCAGUUCUACAGUGAGGAGUGACCUGGAUGGCCUCUGAGCUCUCUGAGCUGCCACAGAUGGAAGGAGAGAA
rnacentral:lncRNA from 1 species